rnacentral:lncRNA from 1 species
AUAAAUAAAUAAACCUAAGGCCAUGCAACCAACCAGUGAAGGAACUCAAACUUGAUCAGUGGCCUGAUUCCAAAACCCUCACUCUGAAAACUUGCCCCAAAUGCCUUUUGGCAUCAGCGAUGCUUGCCGAGGGGAGCCGGAGAGGCUGCAGCUCCUGAGCCCUGAGAAGGGGACAGGGAGCUGCUGGUUGCUCUGGCUGCGGCAGAGAAAUGGUGGGGAGAACUCCAGGGGCGGAGGUGGUGGGACGUAAUGAGCUUGUUCCUAUCUAUGAAUCACUGGUCACAGCUGAGAGGCCAGCAGCCCUGCCUGCCUGGGUCCAGGCUGGAUUCUCACUUGGUCCAAGGCUGGCCUGAUCCCCACUCGGUCAAGAGCACUAUGGAGAUAUGUCACACUCUCACCCACCCUGCCUACCCCAUCAGCCUCAGUGAGGCUGGCCACAUUGUUUCUUGUAUCUCACAACAAUUUCAUUUACUGAGAACUUUUCAUUAUUGUGGGUUAUCUGUGGAGCUGCCUGGAACAUUCCUUGCCCUGUGUUUUCCAGAGAACAGAUUAUCAGGAAGCCGUUGAUCUCUGCCAACAAGAGAGAUCUCUGGAUCUCUACAGCACAAUAACUGUUUUAACCUCUGUUUCCUGCUAUAUCGUGCAUCCACAAAAGGAGGUGUUGGAGGUACAAGUGCCAAGUCCAGAGUUUUCCCAGCUGGAAAUGGCCAAGUCUGGAAAUUGUGCCUGGUAUUCUAGCAGCUACGGUUUUGCCUGCCUUGCUCUGUAGAAAGAGCAAGGCCUGAUGGAAGCUGCAAAGUCGAACCAUAAACCUUGACCUCGGGCCUGUGAGGUGAUUACACAUCCGGUUUACACUCUGCGCCCGAAACUAUUCCAUCCCGGCCUGCCCACCUGCAGCUUAUACAAUAAGGCAUCUCUGAGCAUGGGGGUUUGGCCCAGACAGCACUGCUGGGGAAAGAAAACCAAGUGUUUUGUCUUGCCUCCCCAUCAGUGUGCCAGUGGUCUUGAGCAACUGUGAGAGAGGCCAAGUUCAGAUGGCAGGCCAUCCGUGGGGCUUGGAAUUCCCCGGGAGGUUACCAUGGAGAUUUCCCUGAGAGAGCUGCUCCCACAAGCCGUAGGCUUGGAAGGAGCUGGAAGAGCUUGUGUUAAUGAGGAAGGAGGGUCCAGAGAGUCCGGGUUGGGACUGGGGUGGGUGACCCCAGUGCCUGCUGUGUUGGGGACGGGCCUUGGUAAGAAAAGCAACUUCUUAAAAAGUCUGCUGAGAGGAGCAUUUCAGGUACUCUCUCCAGACAUGAGGUAACCCCCCUUGGAAGGAUUUGGUGAUCCUAAGAGGGUAAAGGACUUAGAAGGGUAACUUCCCAGGACCAUUCCCAGGCACUCUGGUCACUCUCCUGGACACUUGCCUGGGCCAGGGGUGGCAGAGAAGUCUGAAGAGAGAGGUCCAAAGAUACACUGCUCAUGGGACCUCCCUCAGGUCCUGAGGUAGCCUCGCUGUUAGCAGCUAUUUGCUGCCUCACUGCAAGGCCCAGCCACAUAACCCACAGACCCUACAGACAUGUCACCCUGACCUACCCAGGCCUGGAGUGGGAACAAAGGCUGAGUGGGCUUCUCAUGGGACUCACUGCUGUGUGAAUUAAAGUGCUUAGAUGAGAGACAAUAUUGUCAGUCUGCUUGUCCAGACACCCUUUGUGCCUCUUUGUUCAUGCCUUCAUUUUCCUAAGUAGAGUUCUUGAAACCAGCUGUGUGUCAGGUUAGACGCCAGGCCCUUGGGGUACACAGGGUAGCAGGCCAGAGUCACUGCUGAGCCCACAGUAUGGAGAAUAAGCGAGUUUGAGUAAUUACAGAACUGUCCAUGCAUUUCCACAGGAGCCUGGUCUCUAUGCCGAAGGAUCCACUAGAGAGGAAGAGCUCCUAAUUCAGUCAUGCAAGAUCAGGGAAGGCUUCCUGGAAGAAGC